UGACAAUUUGUACAAGAAACUCUUGCACCAAUGAAUCCGAUGGAAACGAAGUACCAAGCAACAAAAUGGUGUUUAGCAUUGUUAGAACAGAUUUCCACCCUGCGAAAGGCGAUUUACAUGAAUUGGCAGCAUUGAUUGCAGAUAAACAAGAAGAGGAAAACAGUCUGAUUGAAGAAGCAGUUGACAGCGGCAAUGGAGAUUACAUAGCAUAUGGAACAAAUUUGACAUUUGUUAGCUUGGAAGAAGCAGAUAUUUAUGGGCUAGAAUUGAAAGAACAUAAGCCUGUUUUUGCAUAUUAUACCAUCAAAGGUGUUGGUGAUGAAGGAGCUGUUCUUGUGCUUCCUGGGAAAAGUAAUGGCAGUAGGGCAGUGACUGUGAUUCUGCCGGAGAGUCGACUUGCUGAUUUAAAGAAUGAGCUCAGGAAGGAAUGGGGUAUCGUCUAAGAAAACGAAGUCAUAUGCCCAAAAUCCUUCGCCAAAAUUCUCGUAUGUAAUGGCCUUUGCUGCAAUUAUAGGGUGAUAAAAAGAUUGAGCUGUGAAUGAUUUGUGAUGGGAUAAGUGAUGAUAUUAUGAUAUCGAAUAAAUUGGUUUAUUAACUCAACUUGAGAGGCACUACAUUAUGAAUUUCCAAGAAACUGCAAUAAGUUAUAUAUAACUUUUUCGCAGAAGCAUAGUUAUGCAGUCUAAUGGAACCUUCUUCCUGUUUAUAAUGAAAAAAUGAAAAAUGAGGAUCAGUUUGUCACUUUUAUUUUUUAGUUUUAUCAUCCAAAGGUGUUUGCAUUAAAAGGCCCUUAGAUCAAGAGAAAAAAAUACAAGCCUAUUAAGAAAAAUCAAACCCAAAGUAGACCAUAAACUAAAUCCACAAAACACAAAACUCAACCUAGAUCGACAAAAUCAAAACAACGGUGCUGAUUGAAACAUGAAAAAUCAAUUCUCGACCAAUCGCAGCCACUAAACAAUAAGUUAGCCCUUCCAUUACGGCCAUAGUUGGAGGAAACCAUCGAAAGAGAAAAGAAAGAAGCAUGCAUGUCCAAAAACCAAGUCACAAUACAAGCACAAAAAUAUACAAGAAACAAAUACCGACAACAAAAAAGCAAAGUAACCACCAUCCAAUCCAGAACGUUUGACCAUCCGUUGUCUGCCAACGGUCUGCAAGACAUAAUAAAGAAACCUGAAUCCCCACCAAGACGAUCACCACACAACAGAGGUGAUGCGACAGAGUUUUCAAGAGUAUAAUUUGUUAGACGUAGCGAUGCAGUUUUAAGGUGCCAUUAUUGAUAAUUGAAAUUUUUCUAUGAAAGAUAAGGAAUCUUUCUAUGAAAAUAAAACCUGAACAUUAAAACCUUAACAUAAUACCAGAACAAUAAAACUAGAAUCUUAGACGAAACAUAAUAAAACCAUAUCAAACAAGACAAAAUAAAAUAAUAAAGAAACAAAAUUAUACAAUACCAAACAGAAAAAUAGAGGCUGGAGCCGCUUUUCCGACUAACAAAACCCACAAACACUCGCUUCUCUCUCUAUGGAUCAGUUUGUUGCUAAGCUAAGCUUAAUGAAAGAUUAGGUGAAGGGGGACAAGAAGGAAGUCAUCCACGCAUCCUUUGGUGGAGUUGGGCAGUUGGGUCCAAGUCCGAAGUGUGGAACAUAAUGACUUAGGUGUUGAAUGAUAUAGCAAUUGUGGAA
rnacentral:lncRNA from 1 species